rnacentral:rRNA from 1 species
UACGGAAGGUCCGGGCGUUCUCCGGAUUUAUUGGGUUUAAAGGGAGCGCAGGCCGGAUGUUAAGCGUGACGUGAAAUGCCGCGGCUCAACCGUGGAAGUGCGUCGCGAACUGGCGUCCUUGAGUGUGGACGACGUAGGCGGAAUUCGUGGUGUAGCGGUGAAAUGCUUAGAUAUCACGAAGAACCCCGAUUGCGAAGGCAGCCUACGAGGCCUCUACUGACGCUAAAGCUCGAAGGUGCGGGUAU